rnacentral:snRNA from 1 species
GCUCACUUUGGGAGCACAUAUACUAAAAUUAGAAUGAUACAGAGAAAAUUAGCAUGGCCUGUGUGCAAGAAUGACAUGCAAAUUCAUGAAGCAUUCCAUAAUUUU